rnacentral:tRNA from 1 species
GCCUCCGUAGCUCAGUGGUUAGAGCGUCAGUCUUGUAAACUGAAAGUCGCUGGUUCGAUCCCGGCCGGAGGCU